CUUACUUAAAAUUUGAACAUGUGAAUUGGUUAAAACUUUAUUUGAUAAAUUAAAAAUUCUAAAAUCUCCUUUUCCAAUUUUAGAUUCUACCUUCUCCAACUCCUUUCUUCCCUCUUCCUUUUCUCCUCCUUGAUGUUGUCUAAUUCCCCCUCUUCUAGUUCUCUGCCUCGUUUGAUAGGGGUAUAUACAUUCCUUUUUCUCACUAUUGGUCUGUG